rnacentral:rRNA from 1 species
GAUGAACGCUGGCGGCGUGCCUAAUACAUGCAAGUCGAGCGAACAGACGAGGAGCUUGCUCCUCUGACGUUAGCGGCGGACGGGUGAGUAAAACGUGGAUAAACUCUCUAUAAGACAGGGAUAACUUCGGGAAACCGGAGCUAAUACCGGAUAAUAUAUUGAACCGCAUGGUUGAAUAGUGUAAGACGGUUUUGUUGUCACUUUAUGAUAGAUCCGCGCCGCAUUAGAUCGUUGGUAAGGUAACGGCUUACCAAGGCGACGAUGCGUAGCCGACCUGAGAGGGUGAUCGGCCACACUGGAACUGAGACACGGUCCAGACUCCUACGGGAGGCAGCAGUAGGGAAUCUUCCGCAAUGGGCGAAAGCCUGACGGAGCAACGCCGCGUGAGUGAUGAAGGACUUCGGAUCGUAAAACUCUGUUAUUAGGGAAGAACAAAUGUGUAAGUAACUAUGCACGUCUUGACGGUACCUAAUCAGAAAGCCACGGCUAACUACGUG